GAGUUAGCGAUAAUUAUAAAAAUAAUUUCUCGUUCUGACUUACUUAAUAUGGACAUGACAAACUUCUUAUUACACCCAUUGAAUCUGAGCUAC
rnacentral:snoRNA from 2 species